ACCCCGAAACUAGGUGAGCUACUUCAAAACAGCCUUUAAGGGCCAACCCGUCUCUGUUGCAAAAGAGUGGGAAGAUUUUCAAGUAGAGGUGACAGACCUACCGAACCUAGAGAUAGCUGGUUAUUCAGGAAAAGGAUUUAAGUCCUACCUUAAGUUUUUUAUACCACAAAAUAUACCAAUAAACUUAAGAGCUAUUCAAAUAAGGUACAGCCUAUUUGAAACAGGAAACAACCUUAAACACAGGGUAAUGAUAUUCUAAACGUGACCAAGUGGGCCUAAAAGCAGCCAACUUUUAAACAGCGUUAAAGCUCCAUCACUUUACUUAACUAAUAACAUUAACAUUACAAAACCCUUCACCACUACUGAAUGACUCCAUAACCAUAUGGAGAACACUAUGCUAGAACUAGUAACAAGAAGAAGACCUCCUCCAAAAUGUAAGUGUAGGCCAAAAUGAACAACUCACUGGCACUUAUCGUCUCUGAACUUAAAGUAGUAACUUCACAAGAAAAUUCUACUCCCCACAAACGUUAACCUUACACCAGAACAUUACCGGAAAGAUUAAAAAAAGAGGAAGGAACUCGGCAAAUUUUAACCCCGCCUGUUUACCAAAAACAUCGCCUCCUGAAAUAACUAUAGGAGGUCCAGCCUGCCCAGUGACAAAGUUAAACGGCCGCGGUACCCUAACCGUGCGAAGGUAGCGCAAUCACUUGUUCUUUAAAUGAGGACUAGUAUGAAUGGCAUCACGAGGGUUAUACUGUCUCCCUCUUUUAAUCAGUGAAACUGAUCUUCCCGUGAAGAAGCGGGAAUACAUCUAUAAGACGAGAAGACCCCAUGGAGCUUUAAACUCAGUAUCAACUGCCCUCCCAAUAUAUCCACCUAAUUAAGCAGACAUGACUACUAGUUUUCGGUUGGGGUGACCGCGGAGCAAAACAAAACCUCCACGAUGAAAGGAAUUAAC
rnacentral:rRNA from 1 species